AGCUCCAACAGCGUAUAUUAAAGUUGCUGCAGUUAAAACGCUCGUAGUUGUUGUCCAACUGUUCUCCGGACGUCUCUUGAGAUGUUUCGGAUUAAUAGUUUAGCGGAAGGUAACUUCUGCCAAAACCUUGAGGAAAGAUUAGUGUUCCAAGCAAUUCCAAUUUGACCUCCCCAGCAUGGUAUUUAACCAAAUCGAAGAAGGUGCUUGCCACAUCUUCAUCAUACUAAAUAGAAAUUCAAGGGGGUAUACGUAUUCUAGUGUCAGAGGUGAAAUUCCUGGAUUAUUAGAGGACGAUCAAAUGCGAAAGCAUUCACCAAACGACUUUUCU
rnacentral:rRNA from 1 species